UACGUAGGGUGCGGGCGUUGUCCGGAUUUACUGGGCGUAAAGCGCACGUAGGCGGAUCGAUCAGUCAGGGGUGAAAUCCCAGGGCUCAACCCUGGAACUGCCUUUGAUACUGUCGAUCUGGAGUAUGGAAGAGGUGAGUGGAAUUCCGAGUGUAGAGGUGAAAUUCGUAGAUAUUCGGAGGAACACCAGUGGCGAAGGCGGCUCACUGGUCCAUUACUGACGCUGGAGGUGCGAAAGCGUGGGGAGCAAACAGG
rnacentral:rRNA from 1 species